UUAUCCCCGCCCACUGGCGGGCUGGGCGGGCCCCCGGGUGCGCGGGUUGCGCAGUACCACUGCGCAAGCGCAGCUCUUGACUGCUGAAGCUCGUGGGCUAGGAGUUAUUGGGGUGGACGGGCCACUGAGGCCUGGAACGUUUUGGGGGCCAGCGACAGCAGCAGUGAGGGGCUUUGUUUUGUUUCUCGCUGUAAUCCCAAGGCCCUAAGGACAGACCCGGCACAGAAAAAACAAUCACAAAUAUUGAUGAAUAGAUGACCACAGGCUGGGCAUCUGACUCACCCUAGGCCAACUGAAGUCUUUUCCUGGGAUUGGAAUUGGACUAAGGUUCUAGCAUAUGCUGCUCUUCUCCAACUCUGAGGAACUACAAAUUUGGGACUCGUCAAUAACCAUAUUCAUUCAAAUGAAGUGAGGAAGCAAAAAACCUGCCUACAGUGAGAGUAAAACAAAGUUGAUUACGAAGAGAAGAAAGAGACAGAUGAGGCCUCAGAACAUUCAAGGCCCAUGUUCUGUUUUUUUUUUUUUUCAGGACCAAUUUUAUUCCUGUCCUUGGUGUGCAAAUACUACAUACAUUUGUAAAUGCCUGUCUGAAAAGAUCCACCCUAAACUUAAUGGGUUACCUUUAGGUAUCUUUUGAGCAGAGGAAGGAGGAAAUGAGGAUUUCCAUUUUACUUCAUGUACUUUGUGGGUUUUUUUCCUAAGCUGCAUGAAUUAUUUUUAUGAUUUAAAAAGAAUGCAACUUUAAAAAAUCUUAUAAUACCUCCAUUUUAUUUCUGGUCAGCCAGAAGUAGAGAAAAUACUGAAUAUGUGGUAGGAAGUAUUCCCUCCAGAUUUCUUUUCUAAAUGAUAUGGUCUAUUUGAGAACCUGCUUAUAGGUAAUAAAAGAUGGUUGUCAAAUGAACAUAAGUUAUACACAUUUAUUCAUUAAUUUUG